rnacentral:lncRNA from 10 species
GUUUUUGUUGUUUUAUUUGUUGAGUAGCUUUCCUGGGCCAAACCUGUGAAACUGGUCUUCCCAAUGGCUGCUUAUGUCUCUGUUCCUUUUUGUUUUUUUUUAAGUUAUUGUUGUUUUUAUGUUGGACUUAUGAGGGAUCAUUCUUCUUUCUGUGUAGCCUGGUGGUCGGCCAAUGAUUGGGCAGACACUAUACUCAAAACACUUGAGCCAAUAAGGUUUCUGUUCUCUGUUGAUGGAUUUCUAUGUAGGAAGAGUACAAACUUCAAGCUGUUUUCAAUUUUCCUCCAGAUUUUUCUUCCCACCAGGCUCUUCUGCACAUUUUCUCUGUGUGUGCAACCUCGGUGUUGGCCAGUAGUAUGUAGAGGGGCUUAGGCCAUCUUGGUCUCUGUCGUGGAUAUGUGUAGCCUUAGCUGAUAUUAUGCUUGUCCCAACAAAAACCUCAGAUUAGAAAAAUCAUUGGUCAAUUCCACUGACCCUCUGCCAAGACUGUCACUUUUACUGACAUUGCUGCAUGGGCAUGGCCCACCUCUCCAGAUCAAGUGUGCCCAGCAUGACCAUGGUAGCAAAACUACUAGUUGUCACAGCCUGUUCCACUCUCACAAAACAUCCAUGUCAACCAGGCUGGCAGGAGCUUUGGAGUUGUCCCAGUAAAAAAUGUCCUAAGCUCCUACUAAUCUUCACAGUUCCACAGGUUUUCAAGCAUAAAUGCUUCUCCAAUUGGCUAUGCCUUUGGCAGAUUCCAAGAGCAUAGACAUAGUUGUUUUUGUCAUUUUUGUUUAGCUUCUCACUUGCUUUUGGGGAGAGGAUUUGCUAACCUUCUUACUAAGCCAUACCCUGAAGUUCUACUUCAUUCAUCUAAUAAGUAUCUAUUUCAUACUUUCUUGUAAAAGGUAUUUUUCUGGGCAUUGAGAUUCCUUAAUAAAUAAUACAGACCUAGUUCCUGUUCUUAUGGAGCUUAUGUUUUUACAAGGGAGAUGACAAGUGACCAUAUAAUCAUUAUUUAAUUACAAAUAUAGUGAGUGCUACAAUGGAAAAGCACUUAGACUUCUGUUUUUGUUUCAUGUCUUAUUGAAUCAGCCAUAACUUCUAGAAAAUCAUUACCAUAACUUUGUAAUAGCAAUGAUGUGUGUAAUUUUCAUGUUUCUGAUUUUGAUAAACAUGCUUCUAAUGUGUAACCACUAAGAUUAAUGAUUUUAGAGAUCAUGUUGAAGAAUUACAUAUUUAUUCCUCAUUUUCUAGUAUGUUUUCCCCUCAAAAAAUGUAUGUUGAGAUCCUUUUGUGAUUCGUAAACAUGAUGAUUAGGUUUUUAUGCUUAGGUGUGAGAUGUGCCUCCCUCACAUCUUAUUACGACAUCUGUACAUUACCCAUCUCAUGUGAGAAAAAUAAAGAAGAAAAAAAUUUAUGUUGAAAGUUAUCAGAUGCUUUUUCAGCAUCUUUUGAGAUUUUUAUAUAAAUUUUCAUAUUAGGCCCAUUUGUAUCACAUUUUAUGUAUUGAGAUAUUCUAAUAGCAAAGUGCUUUGCAGGACUCGAG